rnacentral:rRNA from 1 species
GCAGUGGAAACUGAAAGGCUUGAGUAUGGUAGGGGCAGAGGGAAUUCCCGGUGUAGCGGUGAAAUGCGUAGAUAUCGGGAAGAACACCAGUGGCGAAGGCGCUCUGCUGGGCCAUUACUGACGCUCAUGGACGAAAGCCAGGGGAGCGAAAGGGAUUAGAUACCCCUGUAGUCCUGGCCGUAAACGAUGAACACUAGGUGUCGGGGGAAUCGACCCCUUCGGUGUCGUAGCUAACGCGUUAAGUGUUCCGCCUGGGGAGUACGCACACAAGUGUGAAACUCAAAGGAAUUGACGGGGGCCCGCACAAGCGGUGGAGUAUGUGGUUUAAUUCGAUGCAACGCGAAGAACCUUACCAGGGUUUGACAUCCUGCGAACCUCUUAGAAAUUUGAGGGUGCCUUCGGGAAUGCAGUGACAGGUGGUGCAUGGCUGUCGUCAGCUCGUGUCGUGAGAUGUUGGGUUAAGUCCCGCAACGAGCGCAACCCACGUUUUUAGUUGCCAGCAUUUAGUUGGGCACUCUAGAAAGACCGCCGGUGAUAAACCGGAGGAAGGUGUGGAUGACGUCAAGUCAUCAUGCCCCUUACACCCUGGGCUACACACGUACUACAAUGCUACGGACAAAGGGCAGCAAACUCGCGAGAGCUAGCAAAUCCCAUAAACCGUGGCUCAGUUCAGAUCGUAGGCUGCAACUCGCCUACGUGAAGUAGGAAUCGCUAGUAAUCGCAGGUCAGCAUACUGCGGUGAAUACGUUCCCGGGCCUUGUACACACCGCCCGUCACACCAUGGAAGUUGGCCAUGCCCGAAGUCGUUACUCCAACCCUUGUGGAGGAGGACACCGAAGGUGGGGCUAAUGACUGGGGUGAAGUCGUAACAAGGUAGCCGUA